rnacentral:sRNA from 1 species
AGCAGUCCUAUGUCAGGGCCUGUGCUGAGUGGCUUCCAACUCUUACCCUGAGUCCUCACAACCUACUUCUAAAGAAAACAUUUCCAACAUCAGCGUUUAAGGACUGAUUUCUAGAGGUGUGGGUACUUUCCCAAGUCCUUCAAGUAUUCAAGAGAAAGAGCCCAGAGUCACCUCUAUUUCUAGAGCCAGUGCUCUUACCCUGCCCUCCACCCCUGCCCUGCAGACCCUCUGCAAGCAAGAGGGAAUUCUAACGUUCUCAUCCACAGCUCCACUGUCCAGCAGCCCUGGCCCUCUUCCCAGCACCACCAAGUUGGGGCUCCACACAAUGCCUUUGUAAGUCAGUAGCCACCAGCAACAGCAGCUCAGGAGAAAGACACCUCAGUUGAAAUUACAUUGCCAUGGAGGAGGACAAGGAAGACCUCAUCUAGUUCAAAUAUCAAAAUGUGAGACUUGAAUUUCUAGCCUUUUUUAAAAAACAGGUGCUAAAAGAAAGAUGAAGAAGCUAAAAUAGAGUCAGAGUCCAAAGAAGCAUUUUAACUAGUGCAGCCAGGAGACGUGGGAUCCGGUUCUGCUCCAGCUUGGCUGCAUCUCUGCUCAUCGGUAACACAUUAACUGGGAGUGAGGGUAGCCUGCACAGAAGCUUCCACUGAACAAGAGUGGAUAAUACAGUCCAGGAGUUCAGCUCCCUAUGCUGGGAGCAGUGCACUAAAGAAACUUUAAAUUCUUUCCAGUUAAAGUCUUAGAUAGUUCUGUCUCAUUUUCAGUUCCAAACCCCUUUAAAAGUAACCCAAACAAAGUACUACCGGAGAAGUUGAUGUCACCUCUUCCUAGCUUUUUCCUUAAACGGGACUGUUUUGUUAUGUUAUUUUAAAGGACCUGCCUGGAGACUACCUGACCUACAUAAAAGAAAGCCAGCAGGGGCUGAACAGUAACUGCAGCUGGUUACUCACUUCGUUCAGAGAACCUCUGCCGCGAGGUCAGCUAAAAGCAGUUUGAGGAGACACAGCAAUAACUCUUCAUCACACAGAAGUCACUUCCAUUUUUUUUUCAGGCUAGUUUGCUUACAGAACAGGAGGCUAUGCUGACUUAGAACUUUUGCUGUGAAGAAACACACAGGAUCUCUCAGGAAUGCUGGGUAGAAAUUGUCAGAUCCAGAGGUGACAGAGAAAGAAACCGAGGUACAGUGGCUUCUGAGUAAUCUGCUCAUAAAGAGAAACUAAGUGGCUGAAGCUAGACAAACCCUUAGUGCUUCAGAGGACCAUGCUGGACGUCUGCAUCAAACACUGGCAGCGGUCGUGCCAUAGGCUCUAUCCCAGAACCAAGUUCUCUCCCAGCCAGGGCUGUGGACGACCAGGAAGCAGGUGAACCAAUGUACCACAGCUGAGCAGGGGAGUAAAGUAGUUUCAGUCUCUGGUUAAACAAAAGUACAGAGAGGAGGGAGCCCUUGCAUAUACUCUUUGUGAGAAUGUAAACUGGUAUGGUCAUUAUGGAAAAUAGUCUGGAAUUCCCUUAAAAUACUAAAAAUUGUUCUAUUGUAUUAUCUGGCAGCCCCGUUUCUGGGUAUAUAGCUUAAGGAAAUUAAAUCAUUAUUCAGAAAAAAAAUCUGCACACCCAUGUUAUGUCAAUAACCAACAGUGAGAACAGUCCAGGUGCUUGUGCAGACUGGAAAAUGAGCCCCCCCACACACACACUCAGAGAGAGAGAGAGAGAGAGAGAGAGAGAGAGAGAGAGAGAGAGCGAGCGAGCGAGAGAGCGCUGUUUCAACAAUGUGGUUGAAUCUGGAGGACAAUAGCUAGUGAAGUCAAAUUCUGGAUGCUCUCACCGAGUAGAGUCUUUAAGUCCAGCUCACAGACAUAGGAGGAUGGUGGCCAGGAGGGCUCUAGGAUUGGGAAAGGAAAGGUUCUGAUUAAGGGUACUGACUUUCAGUUCUAGAUGAAGUUUUAGAGACCUAAUGUAUGACAUGGUUGUAACAUUUAAUAAUAAUGCAUUAUAUAUUUAAAAUUUGCUGUGUAAAUCUUAAGAAUUCUCACCUUAGGAGCGGGGUGGGGGUGGGAGUGGGGAGAAUUCCCACCAUACACAUGGUUAGUGAAAUGAUGAAUAUGCUAAUUAGUUUGAAAAUGGUGAUCAUUUCACAGUAUAUGAAUAUCAAAGCAUAACAUGUAUUUGUGUCAAUUACUGUGUCUUAAUAAAACUGGAAGGAAAUGCUAUAGCCAGUGGCCAAGAACAAUCACAAGUCUAGUACAAUGAGAACUUCCAGUGUUUGAAUUCUAGAACUAUUGCAAUAUGAGCAACUUAAAUUUAUAAAUGGAUGUAUACAUUCACACAUAAAAUAAAACUCGUUUUUAAAAAAUACAUUAAAACAUCUUGAAGAAUUACAAGAGAAACAGGUGGUAGAGAAACAAGAUGGUAGAGAAAUAUAAAGAAACAUAUUUGAAAUAUAUUUUCACAAGGAACCACAAAAGUGCCACUUUCUGAUGAAGAGGAGCAAGACUAAGUCACCCCCAUUCUUCCACAUGCAGGUACACAUGCACAGGAACAUGUGCACACAGACUCCUGUCUGGGCUCCCCUGUGGCUCCCAGAAGAUUUAGUUUUGGUCCAGAACUAAAUCAUCAUAGGCAGAUCUAAUUUCAAACACUAGUUGGGGACCUUGUUUCCCCAAAUCCAAAACCCACAAUAAUAGCCCAUUAGGAAAAACUCCUUUUUCUUAAGCGAAUAGGAAUUUUGUUUAAAAAUUAAGGAAAGAGGGAAGGGCAAGAAGAGAAGGAGACAGAAAGAGAAAAGAAAAGGGAGGGGACUUAGUGAGAAUAUGAGAAGAUGAAUAUGUCAAAAAUGCAGAACUCAUAAUAAGUAAGAUAGGUGGAAAUCAUGCCCAAACCGCUAAGGUAAAUACUGCCUGUGGCAGUUCUGCUCAAUGAUCCAUGAAUUGGACUUUCUAAACAAGUUUUGCUUCUCCAAUGAAGGCACCUGUUUUCCUUUUCCUCUUUUCCCCCCCUUCCUGUCUAGAACGCCGAUGAGCAGUUGGGUAUGAGGCAAACACCCCAUGAUCAUGAGAGGGAUUCAUUUAAUUAAAAAAACAAGAAAAGCCCUGAGGAAGUCUGGCCAGCAAUUGUCCAAUGCAGAUGUGGAUGCUUGGAACCAACCAUCAGAAGGAGCUCAGGGAACCUGGUGGGGGAGCUGGACUGGAGGAACAGAGGGGGACUGCAACUCCAUUGGAAGAACAACAUGGGCUGGCCUGACCACCCAGUUUCCAAGAGUCUAGACCACCAACCAA